rnacentral:rRNA from 1 species
UGGGAAUUUGGACAAUGGGCGAAGCCUGAUCCAGCAAUGCCGCGUGUGUGAAGAAGGCCUUCGGGUUGUAAAGCACUUUUGUCCGGAAAGAAAUCCUUGGCUCUAAUACAGUCGGGGGAUGACGGUACCGGAAGAAUAAGCACCGGCUAACUACGUGCCAGCAGCCGCGGUAAUACGUAGGGUGCAAGCGUUAAUCGGAAUUACUGGGCGUAAAGCGUGCGCAGGCGGUUUGCUAAGACCGAUGUGAAAUCCCCGGGCUCAACCUGGGAACUGCAUUGGUGACUGGCAGGCUAGAGUAUGGCAGAGGGGGGUAGAAUUCCACGUGUAGCAGUGAAAUGCGUAGAGAUGUGGAGGAAUACCGAUGGCGAAGGCAGCCCCCUGGGCCAAUACUGACGCUCAUGCACGAAAAGCGUGGGGAGCAAACAGGAUUAGAUACCCUGGUAGUCCACGCCCUAAAACGAUGUCAACUAGUUGUUGGGGAUUCAUUUCCUUAGUAACGUAGCUAACGCGUGAAGUUGACCGCCUGGGGAGUACGGUCGCAAGAUUAAAACUUAAAGGAAUUGACGGGGUCAUAGCUGUUUCCU